AAAGAGUAAAAUACUAUAUAUAUAGAAUGUUUACAAACUAAUUACCAUAUAUAGAAUAUGUUUACAAACAUCUCUAGGAUCUCUAGAUAUAAAACAAUACAUAGUAAGCGAGAUUAUAUUAGUACAAAACUUAGCUCAAGAGGGAUAUAUAAAAGAGGGGGAAUAUGAAUCAUAGGAGUAUACAACAAAAUCUUGAUCGAUUUAGUAAAACUAAACAAAUGAUUCAUAAACUCCACGGAAUCGAGAAAUCUAGAAGAUGAAAAUAGUAAGAAGGCAAAAGAGAGUAGAGAAAAGGUCUUACAAGGUCAAGAAAAAAAAGAAGAAGAAGAAAUGAGACCAAUUAUUAAAGCUCAGGUUAAGAUAGCGUCAAUGUUUUGAUCACGAUUCAGAACAAGUCUUGGUCAUCUUCUUCUUCCUCUUGGAACAUCCUUUAUGUCCUAAGCCAAUCAAAACUUCAUAAGUGAUCAUUACAUAAUUAUUUGUGUGGUCUGCGUGUAUACCUUGAUUAUGGCACUUUGGUGGUUCUUCAAUACAUGAAACGCUUUCCCAUUCAUCCAUAGCUAGCUUGAGAGAAAGAUAGAGAGAGACUUGCGUGAAUUAUAUAUUUAUAAAGAUACACGCACGGGC
rnacentral:lncRNA from 1 species